GGACGAACGCUGGCGGCGUGCUUAACACAUGCAAGUCGAGCGGUAAGGCCCUUCGGGGUACACGAGCGGCGAACGGGUGAGUAACACGUGGGUGAUCUGCCUCGUACUCUGGGAUAAGCCUGGGAAACUGGGUCUAAUACCGGAUAUGACCAUGGGAUGCAUGUCUUGUGGUGGAAAGAUUUAUCGGUGCGAGAUGGGCCCGCGGCCUAUCAGCUUGUUGGUGGGGUAAUGGCCUACCAAGGCGACGACGGGUAGCCGACCUGAGAGGGUGACCGGCCACACUGGGACUGAGACACGGCCCAGACUCCUACGGGAGGCAGCAGUGGGGAAUAUUGCACAAUGGGCGGAAGCCUGAUGCAGCGACGCCGCGUGCGGGAUGACGGCCUUCGGGUUGUAAACCGCUUUCGACAGGGACGAAGCGYAAGUGACGGUACCUGUAGAAGAAGCACCGGCCAACUAC
rnacentral:rRNA from 1 species